rnacentral:rRNA from 1 species
CCGGUUGAUCCUGCCGGACCCGACUGCUAUCGGAUUGAGAUUUAGCCAUGCGAGUCGAACGUCCCCCUGUUGCGGGGGGCGUGGCGUACGGCUCAGUAACACGUAGUCAACCUGCCCUGGAGACAAGGACAACCCCGGGAAACUGGGAUUAAUCCUUGAUAGGUCAUCUCAUCUGGAAGGAGAGAUGGCUUAAAGGGGUACGCGGGCUUCUUCCGCGAAUUCGCUCCAGGAUGGGACUGCGUCCGAUCAGGCUGUUGGCGGGGUAAUGGCCCACCAAACCUGUAACCGGUACGGGCCUUGAGAGAGGUGGCCCGGAGAUGGACACUGAGAGAAGGGUCCAGGUCCUACGGGGCGCAGCAGGCGCGAAACCUUCGCAAUGCGCGAAAGCGUGACGAGGUUAAUCCGAGUGACUUCCGCUGAGGAGGUCUUUUGUCAGCUGUAAAUAGGCAGGCGAAUAAGGGGAGGGCAAGCCUGGUGUCAGCCGCCGCGGUAAUACCAGCUCCUCGAGUGGUCGGGGCGAUUAUUGGGCCUAAAGCAUCCGUAGCCGGUUCCGUAGGUCCUCUGUUAAAUCCAACCGCUCAACGGUUGACCUGCAGAGGAUACCGCGGGACUAGGAGGCGGGAGAGGCGGACGGUACUCCGCGUGUAGGGGUAAAAUCCUUUGAUCCGCGGAAGACCACCAGUGGCGAAGGCGGUCCGCCAGAACGCGCUCGACGGUGAGGGAUGAAAGCUGGGGGAAGCGAACGGAUUAGAUACCCGGGUAGUCCCAGCCGNUAACGAUGCUAGCUAGA